rnacentral:rRNA from 1 species
CCUACGGGUGGCAGCAGUCGAGAAUCAUUCACAAUGGGCGCAAGCCUGAUGGUGCGACGCCGCGUGGGGGAUGAAGGGCUUCGGUCUGUAAACCCCUGUCAUCUGUGAGUAAGGUCUCGUAUAAAAGCUACGAGGAUUGAUAUUAGCAGAAGAGGAAGGGACGGCUAACUCUGUGCCAGCAGCCGCGGUAAUACAGAGGUCCCAAGCGUUGUUCGGAUUUACUGGGCGUAAAGGGUGCGUAGGCGGUUAGAAAAGUUUGGUGUGAAAUCUUCGGGCUCAACCCGGAAACUGCACUGAAAACUAUUUAACUAGAGGAUCGGAGAGGAGAUUGGAAUUCUCAGUGUAGCAGUGAAAUGCGUAGAUAUUGAGAGGAACACCAGUUGCGAAGGCGGAUCUCUGGACGAUUCCUGACGCUGAGGCACGAAAGCUGGGGGAGCGAA